CUUCCAGUAGCACCUUAGAGACCAACUAAGUUUGUUAUUGGUAUGAGCUUUGACAAACUUAGUUGGUCUCUAAGGUGCUACUAGAAG